AGCGCCGCCGCGUCCUUCUCCUGAGUUCGCCUUGUGACAGUACUGCGGGCAAUGGCCUCCUCGUCGUGGUGCCUCUACGCCGCCGCCGCCUCUCUGUCCCGCUGCUCCCCCUUGCCAUCGCCGACGAGACCGCCGAGCGUCUGCCGAUGCAUCUGUAUCCUCUUGCCUCGUCCGACGCUCCCCCGAGGGAGCCGCGUGAGACGGAACGCCGUCGUCUGCAUGGCCCCAGAGGAAGAGAAGAUGACCCAUCGCUCCCCUCUCGAUUUCCCCAUCGAUGUAGGAGUGGGAGAGGCCCAAGCCUGGCAGGAGACCCGAUAUAUUCUCACAAUUUAGUCCAAUGAAAACUCCAUUGCCAACUUCACUGCCAGAAGACCCUCCUGAAGAGGACGAGGAAGAGGAGGAAGAAGUAGAUCCAGAUAAAGAAGAUCCAGAGAAGCCAGAGAUGUCCAGGAUGCAACGUGGAGGAUAGUCUUGAGCAAUGGUAACCAUAAUUUGCCGCAGAGAGAACUACUAAAAUUGCUGCUCGACCGGACACUACUGUUGUUACAGCCAUUUCUAGUUGUUCAUGAACAAUGGCUGUAAGUGUGCAGGCAUUUCUUAGCUUCUUACUUCUGAUGUUAUAUGACAAGAUAAAGUAGAAUAAAUGUAUUUUUGUCAUAGACAUCCAUACACACUGUUGCAAAUUGCAUCCCUCUCUGUUCUUGCUCAUCUACAGAAUUUUGGCUGUGGAAAGAACCCCUUGUACACUU